CCCUUAGAUGUUCUGGGCCGCACGCGCGCUACACUGAUGCAUUCAACGAGCCUAUCCUUGACCGACAGGUCCGGGUAAUCUUUGAAUCUGCAUCGUGACGGGGAUAGAUUAUUGCAAUUAUUAAUCUUCAACGAGGAAUGCCUAGUAGGCGCAAGUCAUCAGCUUGCGUCGAUUACGUCCCUGCCCUUUGUACACACCUCCCGUCGCUCCUACCGAUUGGGUGUGCUGGUGAAAUGUUCGGAUCGGCCGUUUGUCGCGGUUUCCGCGUCAUGUGGCUGAGAAGUUCAUUAAACCCUCCCACCUAGAGGAAGGAGAAGUCGUAACA
rnacentral:rRNA from 1 species